GUUGAUAGGCAGCCUAUCUUCAUUAACAAAAACCUUUAAAUUUAUAUUUAUCCCGAACUAGCAUCACUGCUGGAAGACGUGCAUCCUUAGCACCCUAUAACCACUCACAAUUGGAGACUGUUAUGGUUUAUAAACAUUCAACAGACUUUAUAGGUAACCUUGCACCACUUACAGAGCUUCAAAUUCAUGGCUAUCUUGAAUUGACAUCACUUUCAAACUAGAUGGUUCACCCAAACCUCAGUUGACACCCACAAUUUAGGACUUCUCCAUUUUGGUAACGAUACCAGAUUUGAUAAGCAUCCUCACUUCACUUACAUACACUAAAAUUGAUAGCUACCUCGGAUUCACAUCAUUGUCACAAGAGAUUAAUUCCUUCAUAUCCCUGCAAACACUUGUGAUCUUUUAUCGUCCAUGUAUAUUAGAAAGACUUAAAAGGGAAAUAGGUGAAGAUUGACCCAAUAAUCUUCAGUCCUAGAUAUUGAUAUUUGGUGAAGAUUGGACUAAUAUAGAGUUAGUUCAGGUUUGAAAUCCCAAUCUUUCUUCUGAUUUGUUAUGGU
rnacentral:lncRNA from 1 species